GGUUUGGUGGUGUAGUGGUAACACAUCCACUUCUGCUCAGGAGGAAGAUGAGGUAUUUUCUGUGGGAGUUCCUUGUUCGAUUCAAGGCCAGGCCA